rnacentral:rRNA from 1 species
UACGGGGGGGGCAAGCGUUGUUCGGAAUUACUGGGCGUAAAGGGCUCGUAGGUGGCCAACUAAGUCAGACGUGAAAUCCCUCAGCUUAACUGGGGAACUGCGUCUGAUACUGGAUGGCUUGAGUUUGGGAGAGGGAUGCGGAAUUCCAGGUGUAGCGGUGAAAUGCGUAGAUAUCUGGAGGAACACCGGUGGCGAAGGCGGCAUCCUGGACCAAUUCUGACGCUGAGUGAGCGAAAGCCAGGGGAGCAAACGGG